CCUACGGGAGGCAGCAGUGAGGAAUAUUGGUCAAUGGACGAGAGUCUGAACCAGCCAAGUAGCGUGAAGGAUGACUGCACGAUGGGUGGUAAACUUCUUUUAUAAAGGAAUAAAACGAGGCACGUGUGCCUUUUUGCAUGUACUUUAUGAAUAAGGAUCGGCUAACGCCGUGCCAGCAGCCGCGGUAAUACGGAGGAUCCGAGCGUUAUCCGGAUUUAUUGGGUUUAAAGGGAGCGUAGAGUGGUUGUUAAGUCAGUUGUGAAAGUUUGCGGCUCAACCGUAAAAUGGCAAUUGAUACUGGCAGUCUUGAGUACAGUUGAGGUAGGCGGAAUUCGUGGUGUAGCGGUGCAAUGCUUAUAUAUCACGAAGAACCCCGAUUGCGAAGGCAGCUUACUAAACUGUGACUGACAUUGAUGCUCGAAAGUGUGGGUAUCAAACAGGAUUAGAUACCCUUGUAGUC
rnacentral:rRNA from 1 species